rnacentral:rRNA from 1 species
GAUGAACGCUGGCGGCGUGCCUAAUACAUGCAAGUCGAGCGAACAGACGAGGAGCUUGCUCCUCUGACGUUAGCGGCGGACGGGUGAGUAACACGUGGAUAACCUACCUAUAAGACUGGGAUAACUUCGGGAAACCGGCGCUAAUCCCGGAUAAUAUAUUGAACCGCAUGGUUCAAUAGUGAAAGACGGUUUUGCUGUCACUUAUAGAUGGAUCCGCGCUGCUUUAGCUAGUUGGUAAGGUAACGGCUUACCAAGGCCACGAUGCGUAGCCGACCGGGGAGAGUGAUCGGCCACACUGGAACUGGGACACGCACCAGACUCCUACGGGAGGCAGCAGUAGGCAAUCUUCCGCAACGGUCGAAAGCCUUACGGAGCAACGCCGCGUCAGUGAUGAAGAUCUUCGGUUCGUAAAACUCGGUUAUUAGGGAAGAACAAAUGUGUAAGUAACUAUACACGUCUUGACGGUACCUAAACAGAAAGCCACGGCUAGCUACGUG